rnacentral:rRNA from 1 species
UCGCUACUACCGAUUGGAUGGUUUAAUGAGGCUCACGGACUGUUGCACUUAGUUGAGAAAUCUUCUUUGUGCAUACUGGAAGUGAGACAAAUUUGAUCAUCUAGAGGAAGUAA